rnacentral:lncRNA from 1 species
AUGGACGACAUAUUUAAUAAAAACAAAAUUUGUAUUUUCGAAACAAACCAGAAAGCGUUUGAGUUAUGGAAAAAAUUUGUACUUGAAAAAUUAUCACAAAUAUAUAAUGAAAAAGAACAAGAAGAAAUAAAAAAUGAUAAUACAAAUGAUACAGAUUCGAGUAUUACUAACAUUAAUAUCCAUGAUAACAAUACUAAUACGUAUGAUGACAUCUGUGAUAUUUCCCACAACAACACUCAUAGUGAUGUUUACGACGUAAAAUCGAAAUCGUUAAAAAUUUUUGACAAACAAAUAAAAGAAUGGAUUGACUACUUUGGUAAUGAUAGUGAUAACCAACUAGCAGAAAAAGACGUUGAUAACGAUAGUGAUAGUGCAACUAAUAGUAAUGUUGAGCAAUCUACAAGAACAACAACAACUGAGAAAAAAAAAACAAAUACAUUUAUUUCAGUAAAAGAAAAAUUCAUAAAUAAAUAUAAAAGCUAUUUAGAAAAAUGUAAAAAUUAUUUAAAUCAACAUGAACACUAUAUAAAUGGAUUAAAUAAAUAUAAUGAACAAUAUAUGAACGAAAUAAAGAAAGAAAAAGAAACGUGUAUUAUAAUGUAUGAAAAUUAUUUACAUAGAAAUGUUAAUAUUGUAAAUAAUCAUAAUAAUGAGUUUUUAAGAUAUAUAUAUUCAAUUAUAUGUUUAAUUAAAGAAAAUAAAAUAAUAAUUCCAAAAGGUGAUUACCUAUACGAAUUAAUAUACCCACAGACAAAUUAUAACUUUCCUGUUAUAAAUAAAAUGAAUUAUUAUUUGGUAAAACUGUACAUAAAUAAUAAAUGGGUUUUAAUAUUUGUAGAUUUAAAAUUACCUUUUAAUAAUAAAAAAGAAAAUUUAUAUUGUCAUUCUGUAAAUGAAAACGAAAUAUGGAUUUAUAUUAUUAUGAAUGCGUUAUAUAAAGUUUUUCAUAUUUUUUAUUUUUCAAAUUAUUAUUAUUUUAUUUUUGAAUUAUUAACAGGAUUAAAAUAUAUACAUUUACCACGCCCUUACAGUUUUAAUAAUAUUGUUUAUAAUUAUGAACAAAAUUAUAUUCAGUGUAUUAUGUUAUGUCAAUGUUUUGAGGAUAAGACAAAUACAAACGAACAAAUAAUACAUAUCAAGGAAGAUACAAAUAAUGAUAUAGAACUUUAUCAAAAUGUUGAAUAUGUAUGUAGUAUACAUGACCACCGUUUGAAUAAACUUAAAGACAAAAAACAUUUAUGUCAUAAUUUUUUUUUUUAA